rnacentral:rRNA from 1 species
ACGUAGUUAGCCGAGACUUAUUCCUGAGGUACCGUCCUUCCUCUUCCCUCAGAAAAGUGCUUUACAACCCGAAGGCCUUCAUCGCACACGCGGCGUUGCUACAUCAGGCUUUCGCCCAUUGUGCAAUAUUCCC